rnacentral:tRNA from 1 species
AUAUAUUUAGUAUAAUAAUUACUUUUAUUUUCCAAAUAAAAAAUUUCUUUAAUUAAUGAAAAUAUAUA